rnacentral:tmRNA from 1 species
GGGGAUGUUCCGGUUUCGACUGGUACGGUUCGGGGUGUAGGCUGCAGGUGGAGUGCCGACCUCCUAAUAUUCGGCAAAAAAAUUAAUUGCCAAAACUAGCAAUUACGACUACGCCUUAGCGGCAUAAUCGCGCGGCACCGCCCCGCCGCCUUGAGGGACGGAUGCUGCGUCGCAAUCAGGGCUGGUCAAUUAGCGUGUUUGGACGCUAUGCGAUAAGAACAAUCCAAAAUACGGGGUCCCCGCGUGCCGCGAAGCCAAGUGACCCUCGACAAUUCAAUCCACGGCUAAACCUGUAGAAGUUUACACAACGCGUAUUAGGACGCGGGUUCAACUCCCGCCAUCUCCA